UGCAAGUCGAGCGGUAAGGCCCUUCGGGGUACACGAGCGGCGAACGGGUGAGUAACACGUGAGCAACCUGCCCCUGACUCUGGGAUAAGCGGUGGAAACGCCGUCUAAUACCGGAUACGACCUUCCACCUCAUGGUGGAGGGUGGAAAGUUUUUUCGGUCAGGGAUGGGCUCGCGGCCUAUCAGCUUGUUGGUGGGGUAACGGCCUACCAAGGCGAUUACGGGUAGCCGGCCUGAGAGGGCGACCGGCCACACUGGGACUGAGACACGGCCCAGACUCCUGCGGGAGGCAGCAGUGGGGAAUAUUGCGCAAUGGGCGAAAGCCUGACGCAGCGACGCCGCGUGGGGGAUGACGGCCUUCGGGUUGUAAACCUCUUUUACCACCAACGCAGGCUCCGGGUUCUCUCGGGGUUGACGGUAGGUGGGGAAUAAGGACCGGCUAACUACGUGCCAGCAGCCGCGGUAAUACGUAGGGUCCGAGCGUUGUCCGGAAUUAUUGGGCGUAAAGAGCUCGUAGGCGGCGUGUCGCGUCUGCUGUGAAAGACCGGGGCUUAACUCCGGUUCUGCAGUGGAUACGGGCAUGCUAGAGGUAGGUAGGGGAGACUGGAAUUCCUGGUGUAGCGGUGAAAUGCGCAGAUAUCAGGAGGAACACCGGUGGCGAAGGCGGGUCUCUGGGCCUUACCUGACGCUGAGGAGCGAAAGCAUGGGGAGCGAACAGGAUUAGAUACCCUGGUAGUCCAUGCCGUAAACGUUGGGCGCUAGGUGUGGGGACUUUCCACGGUUUCCGCGCCGUAGCUAACGCAUUAAGCGCCCCGCCUGGGGAGUACGGCCGCAAGGCUAAAACUCAAAGGAAUUGACGGGGGCCCGCACAAGCGGCGGAGCAUGUUGCUUAAUUCGACGCAACGCGAAGAACCUUACCAAGGUUUGACAUCACCCGUGGACCUGUAGAGAUACAGGGUCAUUUA
rnacentral:rRNA from 1 species